rnacentral:rRNA from 1 species
AUUGAACGCUGGCGGCAUGCUUUACACAUGCAAGUCGAACGGUAACAGGGAGCUUGCUCCGCUGACGAGUGGCGAACGGGUGAGUAAUGCAUCGGAACGUACCCAGUCGUGGGGGAUAACGUAGCGAAAGUUACGCUAAUACCGCAUACGUCCUGAGGGAGAAAGCGGGGGACCGUAAGGCCUCGCGCGAUUGGAGCGGCCGAUGUCGGAUUAGCUAGUUGGUAGGGUAAAGGCCUACCAAGGCGACGAUCCGUAGCGGGUCUGAGAGGAUGAUCCGCCACACUGGGACUGAGACACGGCCCAGACUCCUACGGGAGGCAGCAGUGGGGAAUUUUGGACAAUGGGCGAAAGCCUGAUCCAGCCAUUCCGCGUGCAGGAUGAAGGCCCUCGGGUUGUAAACUGCUUUUGUACAGAACGAAAAAGACUACUGGCUAAUACCUGGAGUCCAUGACGGUACUGUAAGAAUAAGCACCGGCUAACUACGUGCCAGCAGCCGCGGUAA